GCGGGUGACGGCCUGCGGCAACCUUCUCGGCUCCCACCGCCGUAACGCCUCUCUUCCGAUCGGAAAGAUAACGAUAACCGAUCGAACAACAACAAGAAGAGGGGAAGCGAGGAAGAAGAAUGGAGGUCCCGUCGGCACGGUGUCCAUCUCGCGCAGCUCGACCCCCCUCGAGUUCUUGGGGGAGGGGUCUCCCGCCGAUCCGUCCGCUUCCCUAGGAAACCCUGGAGGAGCCCUCGCGAUGGAACCCCUCGGUCCCUCCGUUUCGACCCUCGGGGUUCCGGAUCCACUCAAGCUGCAACUUCAUCUAUUGCCCAGACAGAGGAAGCUAGUGAACAGGAACGAGUCUUCAAGGAUAAAGAUCUCAUGUUUGCCGACGACUCAACUGGAAGAGUUGGUUCACUUCUUGUGAGCUUCUGAAACUUGGAUUUCGGGUGCAAGCGGGAGUUAGGAGUGCUCAAACAGCAGAAUCACUGAGGCAGAGUGUAUGCCAAAUGAAGCUUAAUAUUGGAACCGGAACCUCAGGAACUGAACGUAAGAUACAAAUACUCUAGAUUUUUAAGUAAGCUUGAGAUUAUUUCAUCUUUUUAUUUUCAGCU